rnacentral:rRNA from 1 species
UACGUAGGGGGCAAGCGUUAUCCGGAUUUACUGGGUGUAAAGGGAGCGUAGACGGCGAUGCAAGUCUGAAGUGAAAGGCGGGGGCCCAACCCCCGGACUGCUUUGGAAACUGUAUGGCUGGAGUGCAGGAGAGGUAAGUGGAAUUCCUAGUGUAGCGGUGAAAUGCGUAGAUAUCACACAGAACACCGAUUGCGAAGGCAUCUCACGAAUCCGCUAUUGACGCUGAUGCACGAAAGCGUGGGUAUCAAACAGG